AUACGGAGGGUGCGAGCGUUAAUCGGAAUUACUGGGCGUAAAGCGUGCGUAGGCGGUUGAUUUAGUCAGAUGUGAAAGCCCCGGGCUCAACCUGGGAACUGCAUUUGAAACUGGUCAACUGGAGUAUGGUAGAGGGGGGUAGAAUUUCUGGUGUAGCGGUGAAAUGCGUAGAUAUCAGAAGGAAUACCGAUGGCGAAGGCAGCCCCCUGGACCAAUACUGACGCUGAGGUACGAAAGCGUGGGGAGCAAACAGGAUUAGAUACCCCAGUAGUCC
rnacentral:rRNA from 1 species